AAGGCAAUGGGAGAUGAGGCUGAACAACACUCGUAUGAUAAGAUCUCCCACGAGGAUUGGGAGGUGGUGUGUUGUCAUUUUCGUGACCCUCACUAUCAGGUGAUGUGUUUAUCGUACUAUAACUACUUUUUGGUAUCGAUGUGGAAUAUUAUCCCAUUACUUCUUCGUUGUAGGCUAUUUGCUAACAAAAUUUUGAGAACCACAACAAAUUAGAUGCAACACAUUGUGCGUGAUCCCUUUAAUGGAGAACUGGAGCUGAGGUCUUCCCUUUAUUAGAGAACACAUCAAAGGCCAUCAGGGGAGUGGUGCGAGGGGGCUCAGAGCAAACAUGAGAAGAUGGUCCAAAUAAGGGAUGCACCCGUUCCUGAGGGUAGUAAGCCACCCACAGAUGAUGAGAUCUAAGAUCAGGUGCUUGGGCAUCGAGCCGGGGGGGGGGGGGGGUGCAUGUGAUCGGUCUUGAGUGCAAGUGCGGUUUCUCAUGCUGAAAAUGAACGAGGGCGUCAAGCCAACAAGUCUCGAGCGAAGGAGCUGUCUAUCAGGUUGGAGAUGGUGGAAACUGAGAACCAAACGUUAAAACAGCAGAUGAUUGAUAUGCAAUAUUGGAGAGCAGGGAUGGAACAACUGGUGCACGGAGCACAUCGAGAUGAUGUGAGUGGCUCCUCCUCUAAUUCAUGUAAAUGGUAUUUAUAAACUAAAUGUUAUCAUUAUGAUUUAUUUGAGAAUUGAAUUCUUAUGAACAAAUGACAUGAAUUGGAGCUAAUAAUUCUAAUUUCAAUUUCUCAAAUUGAAUUUGAAUUACCAAAACCCAUAUUGAUUAUUCACUAAUUUAUUUAAGUGAUAAGUGUUAUAAAUAUUUUUUUAGUGCUCCCAAAUAAAUGUUAAAUCUUACUUUAUUUUUAAUAGUGUGAUUGGAGGUGUUAAUGGCCUUCUACAAAAGGCCUCAUGCCUAUAAUCUCAAGGCAAGGACCUUUCACACCAUUGUGUUGUUUGCGCCUAUGGAACAUAUCUAGAAGUUGUUUAGGUAUUUCCAAGAUGAUGAUGAUGAAGAAUUAUAGGUUUAAAUAAUUUUCAACAAAUAAGGUUGGGAAAGGGUUGUGUUUUAUUGUAUUUUAUCGUUUUUAAUUAAGGAUAACAGUUUAGCAUAGUAGGCAUGAAAACCCUUUUUAUAGAGGAGUCAUGUUUUUCCACAUGACUUUUUUGAGAGAGAAACUGAGAAGCAUCAGCCAAGGUGGGAGCGAAGUUGCUCUUCACACUAAUAACCUUAUUUUUUGUAGUGAUAUAAGUGCCUACAACAAAAUAAAACACACAACAUUAUUAGUAAUUAAAUGUCAUAUUGAAAACUUAUAAGAUUAAACAACAAAACUUUUAAUAGAGAAAUAUUAAUAGUUGUUAUUAAUUAAUUAUUUACCAUAACUCUUUAUUGCACUAUUAAGUGCCCAUUAGUGUCAAAGUAAUCAAAAAGUGUCCUUAUUUACACUUUGAACAUAUUGCUUAACGGAGAACAGUAGGUGGUAGGGCCACAGGGUACAACUCAGUUUCAUAGGUAUGCAUGUCUUACACUUGUGAGCUGCAUGUAUACAUGUAGAUGAGAGAGAGAGAGAGAGAGAGUAUUUGUCCUUAAUUACCAUUUGAAACAUAUUGCUUAAUGUUGAACAACAGUUGGUAGGGCCCAGGGGACAACUCACUUAUUAUGGCUAUGCAUGCUAAACAUUUGUGUGGCUGCAUGUAUAUGCAGUGUCGGCAUCCACACACGUUUCCAUCAAUAUAUGGCAUAAAGCCCAACAUGUGUGUGUGUGUGUGAGAGAGAGAGGGGGAGGGAGAGAGAGAGUAUUUGUCCUUAUUUACCCUUUGAAACAUAUUGCUUAAUGGAGAACAACAGUUGGUAGGGCCCAAGGGACAACUCACUUAUUAAGGCUAUGCAUGCCAAACAUUUGUGUGGCUGCAUGUAUGUGUAGUGUCGGCAUCCACACACGUUUCCAUCAAUAUAUGGCAUAAAGCCCAAUAUGUGUGUGUGAGUGUGUGUGUGUGUGUGUGUGUGAGAGAGAGAGAGAGAGAGAGAGAGAGAGAGAGAGAGAGAGAGAGAGAGAGAGAGAGAGGGAGGUUUAUAUAAACCCAAAAAGGUCAUUGGUUUUCCAAGAUAAACCCUUUAUCAAGCUCUCUUUAGCAAAUUGGAUUUUGAAAGUGGAUUCAAAAAGCUAUAAUAGGAUGGUCCAUAAAUGGGUUAUAAUGGUGAGCUUGGUAAUCAUAGUCACUCAUCUUCUACAAUAUAAUAAUGCUCGCCAACUCAAAGCAUCAACAUAUGGAGAAAAUGUUGAGAAAAUAGUAAGGGAAAGUAUUGAAAAUAAAGAGAAGGAGAAGGAUGGAGCACGAGCAAUGCAGGGGAGAAUGGACUUGGAGGAGGUGAAAAGUCUAUUGCCGCAUUUUUCGCCUCUGUCACCACUUCCAUUUCUUCCACCAUUACAAAGGUCCGAGUUCCCACCAUUCCCCCUUCCCCCUAUUCCUCCCCCAUCACAGCCUCCCCCACCGUAGUUUCUCACAUUUCCCACAUGUUAUGGGACUUGUUUUACCUUCUAAAACUCUAGUUGGUUGCUUUUAUCGUUGCUAUGUUGUUAUUUCUAUGUUUUUGUUACCUUGUGUUAUGUCUUUUCCGAGUGAAACCUCAGUAUUGUGGAAAAUAAUGGUUAUGCUUAGUUUAACAUUAAAAAUAAAUUCCCUUAACUAGUCUAA